UACGUAGGGUGCGAGCGUUGUCCGGAAUUAUUGGGCGUAAAGGGCUCGUAGGCGGUUUGUCGCGUCGGGAGUGAAAACCUUGGGCUUAACUCAGGGCUUGCUUUCGAUACGGGCAGACUAGAGGUAUGCAGGGGAGAACGGAAUUCCUGGUGUAGCGGUGAAAUGCGCAGAUAUCAGGAGGAACACCGAUAGCGAAGGCAGCUCGCUGGGACGUUACUGACACUGAGGCGCGAAAGCGUGGGGAGCGAACAGG
rnacentral:rRNA from 1 species